rnacentral:rRNA from 1 species
UACGUAGGGGGCAAGCGUUGUCCGGAUUUAUUGGGCGUAAAGAGCGUGUAGGCGGCCUGGUAGGUCAGUUGUGAAAACUCGAGGCUCAACCUCGAGACGCCGAUUGAAACCAUCAGGCUAGAGUCCGGAAGAGGAGAGUGGAAUUCCCGGUGUAGCGGUGAAAUGCGCAGAUAUCGGGAAGAACACCCGUGGCUAAGGCGGGUCUCUGGGCCGAUACUGACGCUGAGGAGCGAAAGCGUGGGGAGCGAACAGG